rnacentral:rRNA from 1 species
GAUGAACGCUGGCGGCGUGCCUAAUACAUGCAAGUCGAGCGAACGGACGAGGAGCUUGCUUCUCUGAUGUUAGCGGCGGACGGGUGAGUAACACGUGGAUAACCUACCUAUAAGACUGGGAUAACUUCGGGAAACCGGAGCUAAUACCGGAUGAUAUUUUGAACCGCAUGGUUCAAAAGUGAAAGACGGUCUUGCUGUCACUUAUAGAUGGAUCCGCGCUGCAUUAGCUAGUUGGUAAGGUAACGGCUUACCAAGGCAACGAUGCAUAGCCGACCUGAGAGGGUGAUCGGCCACACUGGAACUGAGACACGGUCCAGACUCCUACGGGAGGCAGCAGUAGGGAAUCUUCCGCAAUGGGCGAAAGCCUGACGGAGCAACGCCGCGUGAGUGAUGAAGGUCUUCGGAUCGUAAAACUCUGUUAUUAGGGAAGAACAUAUGUGUAAGUAACUGUGCACAUCUUGACGGCACCUAAUCAGAAAGCCACGGCUAACUACGUG